GAACCUGGACACGGAUGCCAGAUGGCAGGUAUCAAACCCAGGGAGGAAACAAUGUGACAAGGGGGUUUGAGACCCAGGCGGAGUCAGGCACUGCAUGAGCUGGGAAGCACAGAAGGGCCACGGCAGACACUCGGUGCAAGUACCACCUGUAGCCCACGGCCACAGCCCCUAAGAAACUGAGCGCCAGGAAGGGCCAGAACAUUGGCCCCAAUGGACAACAUCACAGUUAGCAUU